AUCGUAUCCGGAAGUUCAAAAUGAAGUUUAUAAGGAGCUGUACGAUAUGUACGGUUCAAGCAAUGAGAAUGAUGAUCCAAUUACAUACGAUGAUACUAAGAAAAUGUAUUAUUUGGAACGAGUCAUUAAAGAAACACUUCGUCUUUUUCCUCCUGUUCCAUUUUUUGGACGAACAUCAUGUAGCGAUAUAAUAGUGAACGACAACAUUGUAGUACCAA